AAAUGCCAAAGAAGGCCCCUGAGAGGUCCC
rnacentral:sRNA from 1 species